GGCCGGACAAGCAAGGCCCGCUCUGUCCUGUCCCACAUCCCCCCAAGCUCUCUUUCUGGCCGCUGGAGAGUUUGAAAUUUGAAAAAUUGGACAAUGACCUUCAUAAAGACAAUGUUCAGAGAUGAUCACUACUAAUGACUGUGACAGCUUUUUCUGGCCAGGCUGGACGCAGUGCAAGGAAAUCACCCCACACUUCCCGGGCACUGCCUCAAGGGGGAGCUCUCCCGACAAGACCAUCCUUACACCUUUCGGGACAGGUGUCCUCGUGUGCUGUCUGCAGCCUGGUUCUGAAUGAGUUAAAGAUCACAGCAUGGUGAGCAAGCCUGCUGGCCUGGAGGAGGGGACCGAACCAGCAGGUUUGGCGUCUGGGAGUGAAGGCAGCUGGUCAGAGACAGAAGGCGGGGAUAAUAAUCUAGGAAAGACAGGCCAGUGUGCACCAACCCAGACUCGGCCCAGUAGAAUCCAUUCAAAACCACACCCGGACGCACUCCAUUAAUAAACUGACUUUUAGA